rnacentral:lncRNA from 1 species
AAUUUCAAAGGGUAGUUGGGUCUUUCAGAUUUUCUUCGUUGAGUUUGAUUACCGGGGAGUCCACUAAAUGGAUAAAAUUCUGAGCUGCUGGAUUUAAGAGAGGUUGGACAACUGGUCACGUAGUCAGGUUUGGUAGGAACCGGUGGGGAUUGGUGGUAAUUGGCGUUUUCCAACUUUCUCGUCGAUGCCGCGGUUUUGGUUUCCAGUUUCGCAACUAAAUUUUUCUCGGAUACGAUUCUGUGUUCGAAGCAGAGCGACGUGAAUUGUCAUUCCAGUGAGAAAUUCACGCCCUGUGGGAAUACAGAAGCAGUUGUAGGUUUCAGACUAUUCUGAUGCAUCCAUACGUUUUUCUUUUUGUUUGUCUCCGCCACAGUGAGAUUCAAUAGUAGCCGAACUUGAAAACUCUGAUGCAGUCUCGACGUCAUUAGAACCUUCUUGUGCAAAACAGCAUAUCAUAGCAUAGUACAGACGACGAACUGCGCAGCUCAUUAGCAGUCAUGUUGUGUGAGGGUUAGGGUUGACACAGGUUAUUCGAUAGAUUUGAAAACUUGGAUUCUGUUUUCAGCCAUCGAAAAACAUUCGAAGUGAUGUGCAGUUGCUGCAAGCUAAUUAUCAGAAAGGGAGUUGGUGUGACUUGGUUCACAGUAUCAAAUUCAAUGCCUCCAUCGUAAGUUUAGAAAUACUAAGUCCCAGAAGAUUACUUGAUGCAGUAGCACAUACGCUUUCCUACUUGAGGCUCCGCGCUUAGGAUUGAUGGUAGACACGCACUUUUCAAGGUCCCAGUGGAUGCUAUGAGGCAGAUCAUUUGUUCUUCUGUUGUGUAAGGUGCAAGGUUUUAGAUCCUGGAAGAAAACCCCAAAAUUAUAAUGUCCUAUAUUAGUCCGCUCACGUAAGAAGAGUGUGUUUUUAAUGUGGGGUGUAAUCUGUUCUUUUGUUGGAUGAUGUUGAUGAAUCAUGUUCAAUUCCUAGCCAUGGCACUUGUCUGCUGCAGUACAGUCUCUUGCUAUCUCUUUAUUCAUACCUCUUGCACGUCUUCAUGUCUUUGGUGAUGAGUGAGAAGAAAGACCCUAAGACAUGUACAUUGAUCCUACAUUUUAACUCCUGAAUUCAGGACUGACUGCAAGACCUUGCAAGACGUGGGCUACUGCGGAGUCAACAACCUUUCAGAAUCACCAUUCUGAUGAAACACCGAGCUUAGUUUACAAUUUUUGAUGAUGUCAGGCAGAUGUGCAAACUUUUGUGUCUUCAACAAGGUUCUUGUUAUCCACAUUUUCAAGAAUUUGGUCAUUAUACCAUGUCAUUCUAGUUUUUUGUUCUUCCAAAUAUUUUUUUAUUGUUUCAUCUACACAUUACAUAAUUUUGAUUCAAUAUGUGCUUCUAAA